rnacentral:lncRNA from 1 species
CUUUGAGAUUCUUCUGUUGAAGCAAAUUAUCCUGUCCGUUUUAGCAAAACGGCAUGUUUAAUUUUCCCAACUCAUGAUUGUGUGUUUGGUUUAGGGUUUUUUUUAUUGCAAACAUAAAUUAGUUUGAAUCAUCUGCGAACCCUCAAUUACCAGAAGAAAAAAACACUACUUUCACCAAAAAUGGAACUCUGGGAUUUACG